rfam:Schistosoma mattheei strain Denwood, Zambia genome assembly, scaffold: SMTD_scaffold0002546
GAUUUUUCUUAGUUGGGUGAAGCGAUUUGUCUGGUUAAUUUCGAUAAUAAAUAGACUUUAACUUGUUAAAUAAUAGACUGAUCCUCCGUUCUCGUUUACGGCGCGGAUUCUAUAACUUCUUUAUGGUGUAGUGUGAUCGUGAUCCGCUGGUUCUUACUUGUUAGAGGGACAAGCAGCAUACCCAAGUUGCACGAAAUUGAGCAAUAACAUGUCUGUG